AUUGCUUGUUAAUAGGAGGUGUAAACAGGGUCUCAGAGACAGUAAGGGGCGUUUCAUCAUGCGGUUUAUAUUUAGAUGCUGAUUGGUGGAAAAUAAGGUCCAGUUUCAGUGAAGAAGAGAAGUGUGGGUGGUUUCAACACACUAACCCUCCUCGGCAGGAAGUUUCUGUGGUCGGUCUCUGUGGUUUAGUUCUCCUCUCUUUCUCUCUCGUCUGUUUCCCACGCUGGUCUGCUGGUGAUGGAGGGUUCUGGGUUCCUCUGGGUUCUCCUGCUGUGUGGACGGGUUCUGCUGGUCAGCAGUGAGGUUCUACAUGUUAAGGGAAUAGAGGGAAACAUUGCCGUUCUUCGUUGUGGAAAACUCAGUAAAGGUAGCGUAACCUGGAGCAGAGAAAUUAACGGACAGAA
rnacentral:lncRNA from 1 species